AUGAAAUAUUCCGGCGGCGCGCGGCAAAUUCCGCGACGCCGCGCGACGGGAGUUGCUCCCGGGCCCUUCCCGCCCGCCGGAACCCACGGCGUCCCGUCACGCCGACGUCUCCCCGGGGGCCCGGCCGCAGGCGGCCCCGCUGGCGCCCGUUUCCGGGCGUCUCAAAGCGAGCCGGAGCGCCCGCCGGGACCGAGGGAGUCCGCCCGAUCACGCCGCCGCCCGCGAUCCCGCGGACGAGACGCCGGGGUCUCCGAGGAAGACGCUGACCCGAAGCGGAGUCCCGGGGUCUCUCUCCGCCGCGGGCGGGAGACGUCGUCCGCUUUUUCUCACGGCGACAGGAAGUCGAGGGGAAAUCGUGGGACUCGAGGUUUGGCUACGCCCUCCCGUGUUGCUAAAGGAGAAGCUGACCGCACCAAAGUGAGUCUACUUGGUGCUAUGGGGGACCUGAGAAAUCCAGAGAGAGACGAAGGUCAAGUGACAGAUCACGAGAUUCAUCUCAUGAAAGAACAGAGUCUCAACUCACGCCUUGCAUCAGAAAUGUUACUCCUCCAACACGACAGCACCAUGUUGAACGAGGAAAAGAUCACAGUUCCUCUCGCCCAAGCAGUCCCCGUCCUCAAAAAGCAUCCCCAAAUGGUUCCAAUAGCAGUGCUGGGAACAGCAGCAGAAACAGCAGUCAGUCAAGUUCAGAUGGUAGUUGUAAGACAUCUGGGGAGAUGGUGUUGUAUAUGAAAAUGCAAAGGAAGGCACUCGGAAUGUAAGAACGUCAGGACGAGUGACACAGAUAGAGGACAACACUAGAUUUGUUAUAGACCCAUCCAUUUUUACUGCACAGCCAAAUACGAUGUUGGGCAGGAUGUUUGGAUCUGGCAGAGAACACAACUUUACACGUCCCAAUGAGAAGGGAGAAUAGGAGGUGGCAGAGGGAAUUGGUUCCACUGUGUUUCGAGCUACUCUGGAUUACUACAAAACGGGAAUAAUUCGUUGUCCUGAUGGCACAUCAAUUCCUGAACUGAGAGAAGCAUGUGACUAUCUUUGUAUCUUUUUCGAAUAUAGUACUAUUAAAUGUAGAGAUCUCAGUGCCCUUAUGCAUGAGUUAUCAAAUGAUGGUGCUCGUAGACAAUUUGAAUUUUAUCUGGAAGAAAUGAUCCUUCCUCUCAUGGUAGCUAGUGCCCAGAGUGGAGAACGAGAAUGCCAUAUAGUGGUGCUUACAGAUGAUGAUGUGGUUGAUUGGGAUGAAGAGUAUCCAUCACAGAUGGGAGAAGAAUAUUCACAGAUUAUUUAUAGCACAAAAUCAUAUAGAUUUUUCAAGUACACUGAAAACAGAGAUGUGGUCAAAUCAGUUUUGAAGGAGAGGGGUCGUAAGAAGAUUAGAUUGGGAAUAGAAGGUUAUCCUACCGACAAAGAAAAAGUAAAGAAGAGGCCUGGGGGCCACCCAGAAGUGAUUUACAACUAUGUCCAAAGACCAUUUAUUCGAAUGUCCUGGGAGAAGGAAGAAGGAAAGAGUCGGCAUGUAGACUUUCAGUGUGUAAAGAGUAAAUCCAUCACUAACCUCGCAGCAGCUGCGGCAGACAUUCCCCAGGACCAGCUGGUGGUCAUGCACCCAACUCCGCAAGUGGAUGAGGUGGAUAUUCUCCCUAUCCAUCCCCCUUCUGGCAACAGUGACCUCGAUCCUGAUGCACAGAAUCCAAUGCUGUGAUGCUGAUGUUCUUUGAAACCAUAGCAUGCUACUCUUCACAGUGAGGCUGUACUCUCUUCAUUCUGCACUGCAAGGCCACUCUUCUUCAUUGUGAGAUGCACAUAACAAUGUUUAGGAUACUGCAGUGUAGGCUUUUUUAAAGACCAAGGUAGUUGAAUGGUUUUUUAAAUGAGUACAACUCUAGCAUCCUGAAGUUCCAGUUAUAUAAAUGUACUUGUUUACCA